rnacentral:snoRNA from 1 species
CCCGUUGAUGAAGAUGAUCUUAUUGUCCACAUAAUUGCACAUUUGGGUGAUGACUACAAACCCGUUACAGCUGCCGUAAAGAUGAGGGACCCCUCAAUC